rnacentral:rRNA from 1 species
AACGAACGCUGGCGGCAGGCCUAACACAUGCAAGUCGAGCGCCCUUUCGGGGGAGCGGCGGACGGGUGAGUAACGCGUGGGAAUAUGCCCUUCUCUACGGAAUAGCCUCGGGAAACUGAGAGUAAUACCGUAUACGCCCUGUGGGGGAAAGAUUUAUCGGGGAAGGAUUAGCCCGCGUUGGAUUAGGUAGUUGGUGGGGUAAUGGCCUACCAAGCCGACGAUCCAUAGCUGGUUUGAGAGGAUGAUCAGCCACACUGGGACUGAGACACGGCCCAGACUCCUACGGGAGGCAGCAGUGGGGAAUCUUAGACAAUGGGGGCAACCCUGAUCUAGCCACGCCGCGUGAGUGAUGAAGGCCUUAGGGUUGUAAAGCUCUUUCAGCUGGGAAGAUAAUGACGGUACCAGCAGAAGAAGCCCCGGCUAACUCCGUG